rnacentral:tRNA from 1 species
GCCUGGGUGGCUCAGUCGGUUGAGCAUCCGACUUUGGCUCAGGUCACGAUCUCAUGGUUCGUGAGUUCGAGCCCCACGUCGGGCU